GGAUGAGAGAGAGAGAGAGAGAGAAAGAGGAGAGAAAAUAAGAAGGAGGAGGAGGAGACGGAGGGAGAAGAGAAGAAGUAAGAAGAAGAAGAGAGAAGAGGAGGAAGCAUCAGUAACAGAACUAAGACCAGUUGAGAGCAAU